GCCUCUUUAAUAUCAGUUCCAAAAUGCAUUCGAUUGUAGUAACUUGUUUGUUAGUUCUGUUGGCUGCACUGUCUGCGCAAGUAGCGUCUGAUUAUACCCCAGCUGCUGAUCCACCUCCAAGAUGUAGACCAGGACUUAUUGUGGAUUGCAACUUUCAGAACGAAAACCUGGUUUGGUGCAAGGAUGAGAAUAAUGAGUGUAAAACGAUUUUAAACUCAUGUCUUUUCGAUCAAGCCAACUGUGCGCGUUACCGACUGGGACGGCCACUACUACAAUUAAUAUCGAAGAAAGAAUGCCAAAGGUUAUGUGUCAAUGAUUGUUCCAAUGCACCACAAGAAAUAAUUUGUACUCAUCGAGAUGGAAAAUAUUGCACUUUCCCCAGCCAAUGCGAAUGGACGAAGCAUUUAUGCAAUACGGGCGAAUUUUGGUUCCAGGAGGGUCCACUACCCUGUGGUUCGAAUCCAGUUCAAUGCUUUCCUUAACUGUUAUACUGUGCGUGGUUUCCGUACAAUAGCACAACAACAAAACAUACGCUAAACCAAAUAUACCACACCAAAACCCAUCUGCUAGCUAUCAUACAUAUACAAUAUACUUACUAUAUACAUACAUACAUACGUGCGUGCUCUUGCAUUGUAUGUAUGUAUUUCGGUGUAAGAUUUUUGAAUUUCGUGCGUUCUUGGAAGAGCAAAAGAAUUCCCCUAUAGCAUUAAUAGAGAUUUUAAUAAAUAUACCUACAAAGCGUAA